CCUACGGGGGGCUGCAGUGGGGAAUAUUGGACAAUGGGCGAAAGCCUGAUCCAGCCAUGCCGCGUGUGUGAAGAAGGCCUUCGGGUUGUAAAGCACUUUCAGUGGGGAAGAAAGCCUUGGGGCUAAUACCCUCGAGGAAGGACAUCACCCACAGAAGAAGCACCGACUAACUCCGUGCCAGCAGCCGCGGUAAUACGGAGGGUGCGAGCGUUAAUCGGAAUUACUGGGCGUAAAGCGCGCGUAGGCGGUCUGAUAAGCCGGUUGUGAAAGCCCCGGGCUCAACCUGGGAACGGCAUCCGGAACUGUCAGGCUAGAGUGCAGGAGAGGAAGGUAGAAUUCCCGGUGUAGCGGUGAAAUGCGUAGAGAUCGGGAGGAAUACCAGUGGCGAAGGCGGCCUUCUGGACUGACACUGACGCUGAGGUGCGAAAGCGUGGGUAGCAAACAGGAUUAGAUACCCUUGUAGUC
rnacentral:rRNA from 1 species